CCAGUUCUUAUCAGGGGAGACUGCAGCACCCAUGAUCAGGAAGAAUGGAGAGAACCAGAGGAGAGAGCCAGCUGCUUCAGAUCUGGAGCCAUUUUCAUCGAACCUUUUGGGAGAAUCUUACCGGAGGAGAGACCUGCCUGCUUUAAAUCCAGGGUUGUUUUCAUCAAAGAUUAAAGGUUUCUUUAUCCGUAUCCAGAAAUAAAUGUAUUUUUCCGGCGGGAGAUGCAGCUUUCCACAGGUACAAUGGACAACAGAGCAACACAAUACAGCAAUACAACACAAAAGACAUCACAAGAAAAGAAGAGGAACAUGCAGAUUUUUUUCUUUCUCUUGCUGAUUUAUUUUCAGCACAUCGGUGCAGAAGCUGUGUACUGUAUAAAGGAAUUGCCCUGCAAUGUCACUGAGUGCUUUAAAACGAGGGACUCAAAAAACACAGUUUGCAGCUCCAUCCAGCAAACAGAACACUGUAGUAUCAGUGGAACCCGCAUCAAGCUGGAAUGUGAGGCACAAUUAACAUGCUUCUGCAAUGAAGAAGGUCCGUUUGAACUGGAUGAGCUUCCUGAAAUCCCUGUAAAAAAUCAAAGUAGUGACCUAUCCACACCUGAAGUGCCAGAGAGGAACAACACCAACAGGACCGAGUCAUCUGGUCAAAUUCAUGGGUGGCAAUCAUAUCAAGAAGACAGCACAUCAUUCUGUCACGGGUUGUCGAGGGAAUGGACCCAAAUGCAGAGUAAAGAAAACCCCAAGAACUCCAAAACGGAGGGCACCAUGAACAAUCAGGCCACAGAGAGGGAAGGGGAAAAGAGACAACCAAGAACCAAUAAGUGAACAAUUGAAACCAAUACUACAAUUACACAGGGUACAAGCAGGACACAAAACAGAAGUGCCGCCAUCUGGACAGAAAAAACACAGAACCAUGACACAUUCAUUCAAACAAAUUUAAUAAAAGCUACAUUCUUUUAUGUGUCCUGGGAUGAAUCACGUUUCUACUUGUUUCCGUUGAAUAUUAAGAAAUGUUCUGGUUAAACAAUAUGGGGCACCAAAAGCAACAUGGAAUACAAUUUUUUCUUUUUUUACCAACAUUUUACCAAAAUAUCCCUUUAUCUUCACAUUUAAGGAAUAAAAACACAGUUUGUGUGUUUUAAAAACUC